rnacentral:tRNA from 1 species
GACCCUGUGGCUCAGUUGGUAGAGCAUGGUGUUUGCAACGCCAGGGUUGUGGGUUUGAUUCCCACGGGGGGCC